CAAUAAUGUGGUCGGAGAUUUGUAUAUAAAAACAUUAAAAAAUUGAAGACAUCAAAAUUAAAGCUAUAACAUUGUAAAGGGUUCCUAAUAAGUUUUAUCUAUGUACUUUAGGCUCACUUUAAUAAUAGAGCUGUAAAACAUUUUCACAGCUUCUAAAGAUAAAAAAAUAAGGGUAAAAAGUAAAAAUAUCGAAAACCCUAAUUCACUUUAUAAAAGUUGAUCCCCAUUUCUCAAAGUGAUUUUUAGGGCAUGAUGAGUAAGAAGACUCAAAGAAAGGCCGCUGCUGGUGAUAAACAUCGGACUUGCAGAUUCAGAAGAAACAGAUGCAAGAAGAUGAGCGGUGAUAAUGAUCUACAAUUCUGUGAAAGCCAUUACAGUUUUCACAUAAAUUUCUUAAGAAGCAAUCCUUCGAUUGUAAAAGAGUGUCAUCAUCAUCUUCUUGAGUCUGAAACUCCAGAUCUGACCAAAAUGGAGGAGGAGGGUAAGAUGAAGAAGGAGAAUCUGGAGAGUUUCAUCCCUCCAGAUGAAGAGCGUUGUUGUAAAAACGAUACAAUCAGAUGGAGAUGCAAGAAUUUCAGAAUGAAGAGCUGUGUGGCUGAAAAUUGUAAAUUUUGUGAAAAACAUUGCAAAUUUUAUGCAAAGCAAAAUAAGAAGAGAAGUAGAGAUUAUGAUGAUGAAUUUGAUGAUUGUAACAGUGAUAUUGAAACUUGGGAUUCAAAAUGCUUGAAACUCCGGAGGAAGAAGCCGCAGAAGCUGACGGAGGAAGAUGAAUUGGCUAUGGGAGGAAUUCAACCGCCUGCAAAUCAUACCAGCUCUGAUGGAGUUGUAGGUGGUGGUUCUACGGGUAUUGGGACGAAGACGAAAUCACCCACAGGAAUUAGCCCACCUGUGGUUGAAUUACAGAGUACGGAGCAUUACAAGACUAAGUGUUUUGAAUUGUCCUUGGUGCUUGAGAAGAAGGAAAUUGAGCUUGAGAAGACGAAAAUUGAAAUUGAGAAGACGAAAAUUGAGCUUGAGAAGACGAAAAUUGAGCUUGAGAAGACGAAAAUGGAGCUUGAGAAGAAUAAAGUAGACCCUGAGGAGAUGAAAAUUGAGCUCGAGAAGAAGAAUGUGGAGCUUGAGGAGAUGAAGAUUGAGCUCGAGAAGAAGAAUGUGGAGCUUGAGGAGAUGAAGAUUGAGCUCGAGAAGAAGAAUGUGGAGUGCACUGAACUCCAGGGUAAAUAUUAGGUAGAAUCUAGAAAGAAUGCUGCUAAAAAUGAUGAGGAUGCAACUAAAUAUUGGAGGAACAAGUGUUCGGAUUUGGAAACUGUAGUCCAAAAGAUGGAAAUUGAAAAUUCAAUGAUGAGAUGUGAAGCGUCUCGUGUUUCUAAUUUGAAGAGCCUAGUCCCGAGGAAUGGAAAUGGUAGUUCAAUGUUGAGAUGUGAAGAGUUGCAAAGUUCUGAAAAGAUUGAGCCCGAAGCUCUGGGUUUGCAGAAUGAUGAUGUUACUCAAAGUGGUGAAAAGCAAAUAGAUGAAAACAACAUGAGCAAACCUAAUGCUGAAUCCUGCUGUGAAGGGAGGGAGGAAUCUCAUGUGUAUGAUGUUGCCGUCACUAAACAUCGCGAAUCAGAGUCUGAAAUUCGCAAAUACUCUGCUAUGAACAUUUCUUCUGGAAGUCUACAUUUAUCAAGUGGGGGUGAAAACGUUGAAGAAGUGAACGGUUGGGGCUGUGCAGAAGAGAGACCAUCUCAACAUGGAUCAUCAUCUCAAGAUCAUUUGGAUAUGAGUAAGGAGCCUUUUGCUGACUGGGUCUCAGAUUACGGUGGUGAUAGUCUUGGCAAUUCUGAAGAUUCUGAUUGUUCCGCUGAUUCAAAAAAUUCUCUUGGCGACCUUAUGGAUAUGCUGGCGAUGAAAUAUAGGAAUAGGAACGAUGGCAAAGAAAUGAAAUGGAAAUCUGAGCCUGAAUUGCUUUCUUCGUUUGAAGAGAAUCCUGAGCUGUGUAUGAAAGCUGUUUGUGCUCUCUAUCGACAGGAAAUAUCCGAAGACGAAAUAUCACCCAAGGGGUUGCAUUUUGACAGUGACACGCUCAGAGUUGGGUGGAACAAGAAAGUUUAGAGGCUGACUUUUUCAUGAUUGAGUUGGGUGGAACAGGAAAGUUUAGAGGCCGACUUUGCCAUGAUUGUCGGAUAAAAGAUUUGCUGCCUUCCCUAGAUUUGAUAUCUGUAGUUGUCAUGUGAACGGAGGGAGCAAGCUGUUACCUUGCUUGUGGCUGCACGUCCACAGGGCAGGAAGCCCAGCUUAGUAAAAUGUUCAUAGUUAUUUCGAAGUACAAAAUGGAAAUGGGAAGAAUCAACAGCAGUACUAUCUUUUCUUGGUUUUCUGUUUUCAUACACUUUUGGCGUAGAUUGAUAUUUUCUCUUAACAGGUGUACUACUUUGGCCAAGUUUCUAAUGGGUGAGGACUGCAAAGGUGACAUAAAGAAGUCUGUGACAGAAUUGGAGACAUUAGAUUCUAAGGCUGUUGUCGACUGCAAGAAGCUGGCUAGGAGAUACUCGAUUCAUUUAUUCAAUAUCUACCAAAACGGGAAAGAUCCUUUUUUCCAUCCAGCAGCAGCUUCCAGCCCUGCAGAUCAAAUUGCUGCUAGUUGAUGGAUUGGUGUGUAAGUGGCCUUAAUUUUUUUGCACUAGAUAGUAGACAUUGCAAUCUUUUUGACUGUGUUAUUUGAGACAUUGCAAUCUUACAUCUCCUUUUAACUUCCUCUAAUUUUGUACACAUAUGAGAUGGAGAACUGGUUAACAUACCAUGUAAUACACUGGAUGUGUAUUUUCUUUUCUUUUUUUUUGGUCGGUAAAUUGACGUACAUUGGCUGUGUGUUGCAAUGUAGCAACUCAUAUUAUGGUA